AGAAUGAUGGCAGGUAGCAGAGAGGACAGGUUAUUCAACAUAAUGAUGGCAGGUAGCAGAGAGGACAGGUUAAUCGACAUUGUGAUGGUAGGUAGGAGAGAGGACCGGUUAAUCAACAUCGUGAUGGUAGAUAGGAGAGAGGACAGGUUAAUCAACAUAGUGAUGGUAGGUAGGAGAGAGGACAGGUUAAUCAACAGAAUGAUGGCAGGUAGCAGAGAGGACAGGUUAAUCAACAGAAUGAUGGCAGGUAGCAGAGAGGACAGGUUAAUCAACAUAGUGAUGGCAGGUAGGAGAGAGGACAGGUUAUCAGCAUAGUGAUGGUAGAUAGGAGAGAGGACAGGUUAAUCAACAUAAUGAUGGCAGGUAGCAGAGAGGACAGGUUAAUCGACAUAGUGAUGGUAGGUAGCAAAGAGGACUGUUUAAUCAACAUAGUGAUGGUAGGUAGGAGAGAGGACAGGUUAAUCAACAGAAUGAUGGCAGGUAGCAGAGAGGACAGGUUAAUCAACAUAAUGAUGGCAGGUAGCAGAGAGGACAGGUUAAUCGACAUAGUGAUGGUAGGUAGAAAAGAGGACAGGUUAAUCAACAUCAUGAUGGUAGGAGAGAGGACAGGUUAAUCAACAUAGUGAUGGCAGGUAG